rnacentral:rRNA from 1 species
UACGUAGGGCGCAAGCGUUAUCCGGAAUUAUUGGGCGUAAAGAGCUCGUAGGCGGUUUGUCGCGUCUGCCGUGAAAGUCCGGGGCUCAACUCCGGAUCUGCGGUGGGUACGGGCAGACUAGAGUGAUGUAGGGGAGACUGGAAUUCCCAGUGUAGCGGUGAAAUGCGCAGAUAUCAGGAGGAACACCGGUGGCGAAGGCGGCAUCCUGGACCGACACUGACGCUGAGGCGCGAAAGCUAGGGGAGCAAACGGG